UACAGAGGGUGCUAGCGUUGUUCGGAAUCAUUGGGCGUAAAGGGCGCGUAGGCGGUCACGCACGUCCGUUGUGAAAUCGCUCGGCUCAACUGGGCGGGGUCAGCGGAUACGGCGUGGCUGGAGCAAGCUAGGGGGCAAUGGAAUUCCCGGUGUAGUGGUGGAAUGCGUAGAUAUCGGGAGGAACACCAGUGGCGAAGGCGGUUGCCUGGAGCUUUGCUGACGCUGAUGCGCGAAAGCGUGGGGAGCGAUCCGG
rnacentral:rRNA from 1 species